GGUUAAGUUAGAAAGGGCGCACGGUGGAUGCCUUGGCACUAGGAGCCGAUGAAGGACGGGACUAACACCGAUAUGCUUCGGGGAGCUGUAAGUAAGCUUUGAUCCGGAGAUUUCCGAAUGGGGGAACCCAUCAUCCGUAAUGGGAUGGUAUCCAUAUCUGAAUACAUAGGGUAUGGAAGGCAGACCCAGGGAACUGAAACAUCUUAGUACCUGGAGGAAGAGAAAGCAAACGCGAUUCCCUGAGUAGCGGCGAGCGAAACGGGAACAGCCCAAACCAAGAGGCUUGCCUCUUGGGGUUGUAGGACACUCAACAUGGAGUUACAAAGGAACGGGGUAAACGAACAAGUCUGGAAAGGCUGGUCAGAGAAGGUAAAAACCCUGUAGUUGAAACUUCGUUCCCUCCUGAGUGGAUCCUGAGUACGGCGGGACACGUGAAAUCCCGUCGGAAGCAGGGAGGACCAUCUCCCAAGGCUAAAUACUCCCUAGUGACCGAUAGUGAACCAGUACCGUGAGGGAAAGGUGAAAAGCACCCCGGAAGGGGAGUGAAAGAGAACCUGAAACCGUGUGCCUACAAGUAGUCAAAGCACAUUCAUGUGUAAUGGCGUGCCUUUUGUAGAAUGAACCGGCGAGUUACGAUUGCAUGCGAGGUUAAGCUGAGAAAGCGGAGCCGUAGCGAAAGCGAGUCUGAAUAGGGCGGUUUUAGUAUGUAGUCGUAGACCCGAAACCAGGUGAUCUACCCAUGUCCAGGUUGAAGUUCAGGUAACACUGAAUGGAGGACCGAACCCACGCACGUUGAAAAGUGCGGGGAUGAGGUGUGGGUAGCGGAGAAAUUCCAAUCGAACUUGGAGAUAGCUGGUUCUCUCCGAAAUAGCUUUAGGGCUAGCCUCACGAUUAGGAGUCUUGGAGGUAGAGCACUGUUUGGGCUAGGGGCCCUCAUCGGGUUACCGAACUCAGACAAACUCCGAAUGCCAAGUACUUACACGUGGGAGUCAGACUGCGAGUGAUAAGAUCCGUAGUCGAAAGGGAAACAGCCCAGACCACCAGCUAAGGUCCCAAAGUAUACGUUAAGUGGAAAAGGAUGUGGAGUUGCUUAGACAACCAGGAUGUUGGCUUAGAAGCAGCCACCAUUUAAAGAGUGCGUAAUAGCUCACUGGUCGAGUGACUCUGCGCCGAAAAUGUACCGGGGCUAAACGUAUCACCGAAGCUGUGGAUUGACAUGUUGAUGCAUAUUUCCUUUGGAAAAAUGCCGUGUCAGUGGUAGGAGAGCGUUCUAAGGGCGUUGAAGCUAGACCGAAAGGACUGGUGGAGCGCUUAGAAGUGAGAAUGCCGGUAUGAGUAGCGAAAGAUGGGUGAGAAUCCCAUCCACCGAAUGCCUAAGGUUUCCUGAGGAAGGCUCGUCCGCUCAGGGUUAGUCGGGACCUAAGCCGAGGCCGAAAGGCGUAGGCGAUGGACAACAGGUUGAUAUUCCUGUACCACCUCGUUUUCGUUUGAGCGAUGGGGGGACGCAGGAGGAUAGGGUAAGCGCACUG
rnacentral:rRNA from 1 species